UUCAUGAUUUGGAUUUUAUAUAAUAUAAUUAGGGCUAGUAAUUUUGGCUAGUUUGUGCAAUUAGUGUAGAAUCUAUGCUUCAAAUUUUUAUUUUUUUGGGGUUAUUAGGUGUGCUAAAUGUAUACAUAAUUUUAUAAUAAUCUAAUGGCAUGGUUUAGAGAUAUCUAGUUUUUAGCACAAGAAGAUUUUGAAAGUUGGCAGUUUGGGAUUAGGUAGGGUUUCUAUGAUAUCUAGAGAUCUACUAGUCGGAUCAAGCUGAUAUUUUGUAUGGUCUUGAAGGACUUAAAGAUCAAAUUGCAAACCAAUUUUGGAUCAAAGUUAACGGUUGGAGAAGGAGAAAUCACUGCUGGGAUUUUUGCUUCACUUUUUAAGUUGGCAACCGAGUAACAUGAGUGCAAUUUUUGGAGGUUUCUUUACAAUCUGUACAUUGGAUUGGGCUGAAAAUUCUAGAGUAUAUAGAAGACUUACAUUGACAAUUGUGUGCAAAAUUUUGCAUCAAGUGGACAAUCAAAUUAGAUGUUACAGCUUUCUAAAGCUCACUAAUUAGAAUAGGGGCUUAUAAGAAAAGUCUAAAUUACUUAAAUAUGAAAGUAAUAAGAUAAUUGGGAUUUAUAUAUGAUUAAGACUACUAAUAAGAGUUUUUUUUAGCACUUUUGGAUUAAAAUUCAGAUUAUAUUCUACUCAUAUGGGUAAAAUCUAUUAGGAUUUCUUGGAUACUUGUGAAAUACCUCACCUUCUACAGUUAGGUGCCCGGUGCAUUCUUAAAUAAGUCAACACAUAAUAUAACACCGUGAACACCUAAUACCAUCUCUAGCUUUGGCUAAGCUAAUAUAUAUUUAACUUUAUU
rnacentral:lncRNA from 1 species